rnacentral:rRNA from 1 species
UAUUGGUCAAUGGUCGGGAGACUGAACCAGCCAAGCCGCGUGAGGGAUGAAGGUACAGAGUAUCGUAAACCUCCUUUGUCAGGGAACAAAGGCGGGGACGCGUCCCCGGAUGAGUGUACCUGAAGAAAAAGCAACGGCGACAUCCGUGCCAGCAGCCGCGGUAAUACGGAGGAUGCGAGCGUUAUCCGGAUUUAUUGGGUUUAAAGGGUGCGUAGGCGGGCUUUUAAGUCAGCGGUAAAAAUUCGGGGCUCAACCCCGUCCGGCCGUUGAAACUGGGGGCCUUGAGUGGGCGAGAAGAAGGCGGAAUGCGUGGUGUAGCGGUGAAAUGCAUAGAUAUCACGCAGAACCCCGAUUGCGAAGGCAGCCUUCCGGCGCCCUACUGACGCUGAGGCACGAAAGUGCGGGGAUCG